UACGUAGGUGGCAAGCGUUGUCCGGAUUUAUUGGGCGUAAAGCGCGCGCAGGCGGUGAGGUAAGUCCGUCGUGAAAUCUCCCGGCUCAACUGGGAGGGUGCGGGGGAGACUGCCUGACUGGAGGCACUCAGAGGCCGGUGGAAUUCCCGGUGGAGUGGUGAAAUGCGUAGAGAUCGGGAGGAACACCUGUGGCGAAAGCGGCUCACUGGACCAUAACUGACGCUGAUGCACGAAAGCUAGGGGAGCAAACAGG
rnacentral:rRNA from 1 species